rnacentral:rRNA from 1 species
CAGCAGCCGCGGGAAUACGUAGGUGGCAAGCGUUGUCCGGAUUUAUUGGGCGUAAAGCGAGCGCAGGCGGUUUCUUAAGUCUGAUGUGAAAGCCCCCGGCUCAACCGGGGAGGGUCAUUGGAAACUGGGAGACUUGAGUGCAGAAGAGGAGAGUGGAAUUCCAUGUGUAGCGGUGAAAUGCGUAGAUAUAUGGAGGAACACCAGUGGCGAAGGCGGCUCUCUGGUCUGUAACUGACGCUGAGGCUCGAAAGCGUGGGGAGCAAACAGGAUUAGAUACCCCAGUAGUCCCUGUCUCUUAUAC